UACGGAGGAUUCGAGCGUUAUCCGGAUUUAUUGGGUUUAAAGGGAGCGUAGGCGGGUUGUUAAGUCAGUUGUGAAAGUUUGCGGCUCAACCGUAAAAUUGCAGUUGAUACUGGCAUCCUUGAGUGCAGUAGAGGUAGGCGGAAUUCGUGGUGUAGCGGUGAAAUGCUUAGAUAUCACGAAGAACUCCGAUUGCGAAGGCAGCCUGCUGGACUGUAACUGACGCUGAUGCUCGAAAGUGUGGGUAUCAAACAGG
rnacentral:rRNA from 1 species